rnacentral:rRNA from 1 species
GACGAACGCUGGCGGCGUGCUUAACACAUGCAAGUCGAACGGAAAGGCCCUGAUUGCGUGCGGUGCUCGGAAGGCGAACGGGAGAGUAACACUUAAGUAACCUCACCCUGACUUCAGGAUGACUUCAAGAAACUGGGGCGACUACUGGAUAGGAACUCCUGCCACGUGGCGGGGGUUGGAUAGUUUCGGCGGUUGGGGCUGGACUCGCGGCAUAUCCGCUUGUAGGUGGGGUAGUGGCUUACCAAGGAUAUGACGAGUAGCCGGCCUGAGAGGGUGACCGGGCCCAUUGGGACUGGGGAAGGGCCCAGACUCAUACGGGCGCAAGCAGUGGGGAAUAGUGGGCAAUGGGCGGAAGCCGGAUGCAGGAACGCCGCGUUGGGGAUGACUGCCUUCGGGUUGUAAACCGCUUUGGCCUGUGACGAAGCGUGAGUGACGGUAAUGGGUAAAGAAGCACCGGCUAACUACGUG